UACGUAGGGGGCAAGCGUUGUCCGGAUUUACUGGGCGUAAAGCGCGCGUAGGCGGGAAGCGAAGUCCGGUGGGAAAGCCCACGGCUCAACCGUGGAAGAACGCUGGAAACUCUCUUUCUUGAGGGCGGCAGAGGGAAGUGGAAUUGCUGGUGUAGCGGUGAAAUGCGCAGAUAUCAGGAGGAACACCAAUGGCGAAGGCAGCUCGCUGGGACGUGACUGACGCUGAGACGCGAAAGCGUGGGGAGCAAACAGG
rnacentral:rRNA from 1 species